rnacentral:rRNA from 1 species
UACAGAGGGUGCGAGCGUUAAUCGGAAUUACUGGGCGUAAAGCGCGCGUAGGCGGCUUUGCAAGUCGGGUGUGAAAUCCCCAGGCUUAACCUGGGAACUGCAUUCGAGACUGCAUUGCUAGAGUAUGGGAGAGGGAAGUGGAAUUUCCGGUGUAGCGGUGAAAUGCGCAGAUAUCGGGAGGAACACCAAUGGCGAAGGCAGCUCGCUGGGACGGUACUGACGCUGAGACGCGAAAGCGUGGGGAGCAAACAGG